rnacentral:rRNA from 1 species
GAUGAACGCUGGCGGCGUGCCUAAUACAUGCAAGUCGAGCGCACGGACGAGCAGCUUGCUUCUCUGAUGUUAGCGGCGGACGGGUGAGUAACACGUGGAUAACCUACCUAUAAGACUGGGAUAACUUCGGGAAACCGGAGCUAAUACCGGAUAAUAUUUUGAACCGCAUGGUUCAAAAGUGAAAGAAGGUCUUGCUGUCACUUAUAGAUGGAUCCGCGCUGCAUUAGCUAGUUGGUAAGGUAACGGCUUACCAAGGCAACGAUGCAUAGCCGACCUGAGAGGGUGAUCGGCCACACUGGAACUGAGACCCGGUCCAGACUCCUACGGGAGGCAGCAGUAGGGAAUCUUCCGCAAUGGGCGAAAGCCUGACGGAGCAACGCCGCGUGAGUGAUGAAGGUCUUCGGAUCGUAAAACUCUGUUAUUAGGGAAGAACAUAUGUGUAAGUAACUGUGCACAUCUUGACGGUACCUAAUCAGAAAGCCACGGCUAACUACGUG